GAUGAACGCUGGCGGCGUGCUUAACACAUGCAAGUCGAACGGAAAGGCUCCUGCUUGCAGGGGUACUCGAGUGGCGAACGGGUGAGUAACACGUGGGUGAUCUGCCCUGCACUUCGGGAUAAGCCUGGGAAACUGGGUCUAAUACCGGAUAGGACGAUGGUUUGGAUGCCAUUGUGGAAAGUUUUUUCGGUGUGGGAUGAGCUCGCGGCCUAUCAGCUUGUUGGUGGGGUAAUGGCCUACCAAGGCGUCGACGGGUAGCCGGCCUGAGAGGGUGUACGGCCACAUUGGGACUGAGAUACGGCCCAGACUCCGACGGGAGGCAGCAGUGGGGAAUAUUGCACAAUGGGCGCAAGCCUGAUGCAGCGACGCCGCGUGGGGGAUGACGGCCUUCGGGUUGUAAACUCCUUUCGCUAGGGACGAAGCGCAAGUGACGGUACCUGGAGAAGAAGCACCGGCUAACUACGUG
rnacentral:rRNA from 1 species